AUUGAACGCUGGCGGCGGGCCUAACACAUGCAAGUCGAACGAGUGGCGGACGGGUGAGUAAUGUCUGGGAAACUGCCUGAUGGAGGGGGAUAACUACUGGAAACGGUAGCUAAUACCGCAUACUAUCAGAUGAGCCUCGGUCGGAUUAGCUAGUGGGUGGGGUAACGGCCUACCAAGGCGACGAUCCGUAACUAGUCUGAGAGGAUGAUCAGUAAAACUGGAACUGAGAGACGGUCCAGACGCAUACGGUAGGAAGCAGUGGGGAAUAUUGGACGAUGGGCGCAAGCCUGAUCCAGCAGUGCCGCGUGUGUGAAGAAGGUCUUCGGAUUGUAAAGCACUUUAAGUUGGGAGGCGUAACCAACAGAAUAAACACCGGCUAACUUCGGGCCAGCAGCCGCGGUAAUAC
rnacentral:rRNA from 1 species